rnacentral:rRNA from 1 species
AGUGAACGCUGGCGGUAGGCCUAACACAUGCAAGUCGAACGGCAGCACAGUAAGAGCUUGCUCUUACGGGUGGCGAGUGGCGGACGGGUGAGGAAUACAUCGGAAUCUACUUUUUCGUGGGGGAUAACGUAGGGAAACUUACGCUAAUACCACAUACGACCUACGGGUGAAAGCAGGGGAUCUUCGGACCUUGCGCGAUUGAAUGAGCCGAUGUCGGAUUAGCUAGUUGGCGGGGUAAAGGCCCACCAAGGCGACGAUCCGUAGCUGGUCUGAGAGGAUGAUCAGCCACACUGGAACUGAGACACGGUCCAGACUCCUACGGGAGGCAGCAGUGGGGAAUAUUGGACAAUGGGCGCAAGCCUGAUCCAGCCAUACCGCGUGGGUGAAGAAGGCCUUCGGGUUGUAAAGCCCUUUUGUUGGGAAAGAAAAGCAGCAGGUUAAUACCCCGCUAUUCUGACGGUACCCAAAGAAUAAGCACCGGCUAACUUCGUG